rnacentral:rRNA from 1 species
GACGAACGCUGGCGGCGUGCUUAACACAUGCAAGUCGAGCGGUAAGGCCCUUUCGGGGGUACACGAGCGGCGAACGGGUGAGUAACACGUGGGUGACCUGCCCUCAGCUCUGGGAUAAGCCCGGGAAACUGGGUCUAAUACUGGAUAUGACUCCACGGUGCAUGCCGUGGGGUGGAAAGCCUUGUGCGGCUGAGGAUGGGCCCGCGGCCUAUCAGCUUGUUGGUGGGGUGAUGGCCUACCAAGGCGACGACGGGUAGCCGGCCUGAGAGGGCGACCGGCCACACUGGGACUGAGACAC